ACAUGUGCUAUACAUGCUGUUGAUGAAACUGCUAAAGGGGCUGAAUGUGACUGACGUCUUUGGAAGGAUGAGACUUAGCGUGCCUGUACAGUUGUGUCCAAAUGCUGUCCUCAUCUCCCAAUGAAAAGGUAUUGUAAAUAAAGAGAAAGAUCAGAGGCUUAUUUUAAACACUAAAUAUGAGCUAGGAGCUGUCCUAGACACUAUGUAAAAGUUUUAUUUAGUUCUCACUGUAAUGUUGGCCUUAUGUUAGCAUCCCAUUUUUCAGACUGAGGAAAUUAUGGCUCAGAGAGGUUAAGAGACUUAUUGAAGGUCACACAGCUCCACAAACUUUGGUGUAGAUUGAACGUGUACAUGGGUCUAUGUGACUUUGAAUCUUGCAUUCUUUACAUUAUUGGAAUAUUUCACAGAAGGAAAAUGACAUAUUAACAUGGCAAUAAGAUUUCUGGUUCCAGUCUGGUUACUGGUCUUCCAAGAGUGUUAUAGGAUGUAUAGCCUGAGCUCUGAAGCUUUGUUCUGAAGCAUGCUAUCAAUAUGAACAAAUUGGUAUGGAAGGAAGCCACAAAUUAUAUACUAAAAUCUAGUUCAUCAGAGGAAAAUAUAGUUAAAUACAUUUACAUUCCCAGAACUGUUAAUAUUGAAGAAUAAAACACACAGUGGGAAAGAGACGAAGAGAAAAUACGCCUGUUUUUAUGACUUGUUGAUAUCUACAGGGUUUUUCCUUAAGCCUCACAACAAUUUACAGCAUUGCCAGCAGCAUUCAGUACAUUCAGAACAGGAUAAUUUCACCCGCAGCUGAACUAGGGCCAUGCCUGGGACAGACAGAGAAUGGCCUUCCAGCAGACAUGCCAAGAAGCAAGCCAGGGUCAGUGAGUGAAGAGGAGGGCAGGCCCAUUUGAAGCAACACAGUUUAUGUAAGUGUGAUCUAACUGCUUUCACUGGAAAUGGGUCAGACUCCAGUUGAGAGAACCAGGGGCCUGAAUGACCCCAGCAAAAUCACUGUGGCAAUUCUUUCAAUCACCUCUGAGAAUAUGGCCCUGUGACGACAUAAUGACGUUUGGAUUAAUUCCAGUCGGCUGUGUUUUCCCCUCCUUUCUUGCCUCCCCGUAGUUGAUUUGCCAAAUUUUUUUUGUUUGCUUAAAUACGCGGAACUAAACAGGAUACAUUAUAUGACAGUCUGUGAUAAAUUUACCACUGGGAAUAGGGAAAAAGUAUGGGAUAAAGAAAUAGGUAUUUUUCGCCUCUCACAGCUGUGAUUCAGUUCUGACUCAAAAGGAAGUGUGCCACCUACUGAAUCACAGAAACCACUUCCUGUGGCUGUUUGGUUUAUUCUGGAGGAGCAUCAGGCCAAGUGCUGCCCUGCCCUGACCCUGACUGGCUCUUCAGAGCCAAGGCAUUCACAGCUUGAGGUGGUUUGGCCUCAGACUCUUGAGAACAUUGCAUAUUAAAUUACAAGUGUUUCGUUUCCUAGCAAGGAGUCUUUAGCAACAUGAAAACGAACGUGUGUUAUUUGCAAACCAAGUAUAUCAUUACUGAACCUGAAUAUCCUUACUUUUUCAUAAGGUACGUAUUCCGGAUGACCACUCUUAAGAUCUGAAUGUACACUGGUUCUGUUUUUCCUGAGGGGAACUUGGGCAGUCUGCAGGGUGGCAUUUACCAGCUGAGGUAGGAGAAUCGCUGGAACCCGAGAGGCGGAGGCUGCAGUGAGUUGAGAUCAUGUCACUGCACUCCAGGCUGGGCAACAGAGUGAGACUCUGUCUCAGAAAAAAAAAAAAA
ensembl:lncRNA LUCAT1 lung cancer associated transcript 1